GAUGAACGCUGGCGGCGUGCCUAAUACAUGCAAGUCGAGCGAACGGACGAGAAGCUUGCUUCUCUGAUGUUAGCGGCGGACGGGUGAGUAACACGUGGAUAACCUACCUAUAAGACCGGGAUAACUUCGGGAAACCGGAGCUAAUACCGGAUAAUAUUUUGAACCGCAUGGUUCAAAAGUGAAAGACGGUCUUGCUGUCACUUAUAGAUGGAUCCGCGCUGCAUUAGCUAGUUGGUAAGGUAACGGCUUACCAAGGCAACGAUGCAUAGCCGACCUGAGAGGGUGAUCGGCCACACGGGAACUGAGACACGGUCAAGACUCCUACGGGAGGCAGCAGUAGGGAAUCUUCCGCAAUGGGCGAAAGCCUGACGGAGCAACGCCGCGUGAGUGAUGAAGGUCUUCGGAUCGUAAAACUCUGUUAUUAGGGAAGAACAUAUGUGUAAGUAAAUGUGCACAUCUUGACGGUACCUAAUCAGAAAGCCACGGCUAACUACGUG
rnacentral:rRNA from 1 species